rnacentral:rRNA from 1 species
CCUACGGGGUGCAGCAGUGGGGAAUAUUGGACAAUGGGCGAAAGCCUGAUCCAGCCAUGCCGCGUGUGUGAAGAAGGCCUUCGGGUUGUAAAGCACUUUCAGUGGGGAAGAAAGCCUUGGGGCUAAUACCCUCGAGGAAGGACAUCACCCACAGAAGAAGCACCGGCUAACUCCGUGCCAGCAGCCGCGGUAAUACGGAGGGUGCGAGCGUUAAUCGGAAUUACUGGGCGUAAAGCGCGCGUAGGCGGUCUGAUAAGCCGGUUGUGAAAGCCCCGGGCUCAACCUGGGAACGGCAUCCGGAACUGUCAGGCUAGAGUGCAGGAGAGGAAGGUAGAAUUCCCGGUGUAGCGGUGAAAUGCGUAGAGAUCGGGAGGAAUACCAGUGGCGAAGGCGGCCUUCUGGACUGACACUGACGCUGAGGUGCGAAAGCGUGGGUAGCAAACAGGAUUAGAUACCCGAGUGGUC